GUAGGUGGCAAGCGUUGUCCGGAAUUAUUGGGCGUAAAGCGCGCGCAGGCGGUUCUUUAAGUCUGAUGUGAAAGCCCACGGCUCAACCGUGGAGGGUCAUUGGAAACUGGAGAACUUGAGUACAGAAGAGGAAAGCGGAAUUCCACGUGUAGCGGUGAAAUGCGUAGAGAUGUGGAGGAACACCAGUGGCGAAGGCGGCUUUCUGGUCUGUAACUGACGCUGAGGCGCGAAAGCGUGGGGAGCAAACAGGAUUAGAUACCCUGGUAGUCCACGCCGUAAACGAUGAGUGCUAAGUGUUAGGGGGGUUUUCCGCCCCCCUUAGUGCUGCAGCUAGCGCAUUAAGCACUCCGCCCUGGGAGUACGGCCGCAAGGCUG
rnacentral:rRNA from 1 species